GUCAUCUAAGUCCAUAGCUCAUUGCCUUACAAGCUGGAGUCAUGACAAGAAUAAGAUUUUGUAUGUACGGAUCCUGAGCUCAUGGGAACUGAAAGGUUCAAAAGGAGAGCUCAAGUUACACAAGCUUUGUAAGUGAUCUAUUUACACCAUAUGACUAAGAACAUAUCCAUGGAGAGCUUAUGAGCCCAGGCUUCUGAAACUGUCAAACUAGGAGAGAGGAAAAUGAACAGCCACAAAAAUCCAUAAAAGCUGAAUUGUGCCUGGCAUUGUGCAGCUGUGGUGCUGCCUUCAUCAUUCUCUGCAUUUCCAAUCUUGCUAAUUAAAAGGUUGAUCACAGAA